GAUGAACGCUGGCGACAGGCUUAACACAUGCAAGUCGAGCGGAAACGAUGAGAGAUCUUGCUCUCUUCGGCGUCGACCGGCGCACGUGUGAGUAACGCGUAUCCAACCUACCCAUUACAGGGGUAUAACCUAGCGAAAGUAAGACUAAUACCCCAUGCCAUCUUAUGGUGGCAUCAUUGUAGGUUUAAGGAUUUAUGGGUGAUGGCUGGGGAUGCGUCUGAUUAGCUUGUUGGCGGGGUAACGGCCGACUGAGUCGACGAUCAGUAAGGGUUCUGAGAGGAAGGGGCCCCAGAGGGGAACCGAGAACCGGGCGAAACACCUACGGGAGGCAGCAGUGAGGGAGACAGGAGAGUGGGAGAGUGCUCGAUCCAGCCAAGUAGGGUGCAGGAAGACGGCCUGAGGGAUGAUAAACUGCUUUUAGAAAGGAGUAUAGGGAGCUAAGUGUAGGUUAUUGCAUGUACUCGAUGAAUAAGGACCGGCUAAUUACGUG
rnacentral:rRNA from 1 species